AUUGAACGCUGGCGGCAUGCCUUACACAUGCAAGUCGAACGCGAAAGUAGGGGCAACCCUGCGAGUAGAGUGGCGAACGGGUGAGUAAUGCAUCGGAACAUUUCCAGUAGCGGGGGAUAACCUCGAGAAAUCGAGGCUAAUACCGCAUACGUCCUACGGGAGAAAGCGGGGGACCGCAAGGCCUCGCACUAUUGGAGUGGCCGAUGCCGGAUUAGCUAGUUGGCGGGGUAAAAGCCCACCAAGGCGACGAUCCGUAGCUGGUCUGAGAGGAUGAUCAGCCACACUGGGACUGAGACACGGCCCAGACUCCUACGGGAGGCAGCAGUGGGGAAUUUUGGACAAUGGGCGCAAGCCUGAUCCAGCCAUGCCGCGUGAGUGAAGAAGGCCUUCGGGUUGUAAAGCUCUUUCGGCCGGGACGAAAUCGCACCCUUUAAUACGGGGUGUGGAUGACGGUACCGGAAGAAGAAGGACCGGCUAACUACGUGCCAGCCGCCGCCGUAA
rnacentral:rRNA from 1 species